rnacentral:rRNA from 1 species
UGGGGAAUAUUGCGCAAUGGGCGAAAGCCUGACGCAGCGACGCCGCGUGGGUGAUGAAGGCCUUCGGGUCGUAAAGCCCUGUCGGGAGGGACGAAACCUCGGUGACUUAAUACGUCACCGACCUGACGGUACCUCUUAAGGAAGCACCGGCUAACUCCGUGCCAGCAGCCGCGGGAAUACGGAGGGUGCGAGCGUUGUUCGGAAUUACUGGGCGUAAAGCGCGUGCAGGCGGUCUCUUAAGUCUGGUGUGAAAGCCCGGGGCUCACCCCAGGAAGGGCACUGGAGACUGGGAGGCUAGAGUACCGGAGAGGAAGGUGGAAUUCCUGGUGUAGCGGUGAAAUGCGUAGAUAUCAGGAGGAACACCGGUGGCGAAGGCGGCCUUCUGGACGGCUACUGACGCUGAGACGCGAAAGCGUGGGGAGCAAACA